rnacentral:lncRNA from 1 species
UGCCCCUCUAACCACUAGGCUACCUGCCCCUCUAACCACUAGGCUACCUGCCCCUCUAACCACUAGGCUACCUGCCCCUCUAACCACUAGGCUACCUGCCCCUCUAACCACUAGGCUACCUGCUGCUCUAACCACUAGGCUACCACCCGCCCCAACGCUCUAACCACUAGGCUACCACCCGCCCCAACGCUCUAACCACUAGGCUACCUGCUGCUCUAACCACUAGGCUACCACCCGCCCCAACGCAUAGUCAGAACUACCCGUCUGAUUAUUCCACAUUUAGCUCUGAGUUAUACGGUAAGUAACUACAUGCUGUUCAUGAUCAGUAACAUCAGUUGAUCAUGUAGUUUCAGAUACCUGAGGGUGGCCUAUCCAUUUGGCAUGUAGCUAACUAAGCAAACCUUUCAUUUAGUUGGCUUCAUCAGAGAUGAGGCUUUUGGAAAGACCUUGACAUCAGCAAGUCCUCGUCCUGGUGAAGUGGUCAGUUGGACUUCUGUCAUCACCACUAUAGAUGGCAAGCUAAUCAAGUUCAAGUUUAUCCCCAGGAAGUUAGCUCGUUAACCAGCCCAUAUUGACCCGAUCUGUUAUUAGCUAGCUAGCCAAUUUGACGUGAUCCAUCAAUCAAUGAAGCCCAUCUAUAAUUUCUGUCAGCAGCAAUAGUGACUAAACACUUAAAAAAAACAAUGUUGAGAAGUGGAUAAUGUUAGCUAACUUUGCUAGGUAGGCCUACGUUGGUUGGAGAAAGAAGUACAGUAGGUCUAUUUACCUCUGUUUAGCCUGUAACAAGUUUAUACCGGUAGCUUGUAAAUAUUAUCAGCUAACUACAUUGGUAAAAUGAGCCCUUCUGCUGCUUGACAGGAAGAGCCCACAAAGGACAGGAAAUGAACCUAAACCACUCAUUCUUGUCGGGUAUAGUUUACUUUUAUAUCACUCAAAUAUCCAAUCAAUGGUGGCCAAUAUUGAGAGAGAUCGUCAGGCUACGUAUCUGAAAUGGCCAUGAACAGCAUGCAGUUACUGCUGUAUAACUGAUACAGCAGAAUGUGGAAAUAUCUGACAUUUGUAUUUCUAUGCUCUUCCAGAGGUGACGACACCAAACGCUCUGCACCUUAUUGUGACGUUUUACUGAUAACCUAUUCUAAACAUUCUAGCCAGUCCAAGGGUCGUUCCAUGAAAUGAGUGCCCUAUGAUUAUUUUAAGUAGAAAUAGUGUGCAAAUAUUGAAUUUUAAAAGCCUGUUAUAUUAAAUGAAAUGCCCUUUAAAACCCACUGGGCACAGACGUCCAUUCAAUGUCUAUUCCACAUUAGUAACCCAUACAUGACUUCUCUAUGGAAAGGGGAGACCCUGAAGGUAACCCAUACAUGACUUCUCUAUGGAAAGGGGAGACCCUGAAGGUAACCCAUACAUGACUUCUCUAUGG